rnacentral:misc_RNA from 1 species
GAGAAGAACGCAGCGAAAUGCGAUAAGUAAUGUGAAUUGCAGAAUUCAGUGAAUCAUCGAAUCUUUGAACGCACAUUGCGCCCCCUGGUAUUCCGGGGGGCAUGCCUGUUCGAGCGUCAUUUCACCACUCAAGCCUCGCUUGGUAUUGGGCAACGCGGUCCGCCGCGUGCCUCAAAUCGACCGGCUGGGUCUUCUGUCCCCUAAGCGUUGUGGAAACUAUUCGCUAAAGGGUGUUCGGGAGGCUACGCCGUAAAACAACCCCAUUUCUAAGGUUGACCUCGGAUCAGGUAGGGAUACCCGCUGAACUUAAGCAUAUCAAUAAGCGGAGGA